GGCAACGGCCAUACCACGUUGAAAGCACCGGUUCUCGUCCGAUCACCGAAGUUAAGCACCGUUGGGCGCGGUCAGUACUUGGAUGGGUGACCACUUGGGAACACCGCGUGCCGUUGGCA
rnacentral:rRNA from 1 species